AAAGGAAGUGGAUGUUCCAGGUGGAGGAAGCCACUUAGGCAAAGGCAUGGAAGCUGGCCUGAGCAACAGCAGAUCACUGGACCCACAAGGAGACAGCCAGCGAGGGCCGAGCCUUCUGCGUGGAUGUAAAGGCUAAGGGAGAAUUAAUGAGAUGAAGGUGGAAGAGGGAAGGACAUUUUGGACAGUAGGAAUGGCCUGAGCAAAGGCCCUGGGGUAGGAGGGAACAUUGGGUGUAUGAGCAGAUGAGAGGCUAGGAAUGAAAACAAGAUAAUCAGAUGAAGAGGGAGAAGAGCACCCCAGGCAGAAGGAACAGAGAGCAGAAAGGCCCUGAGGCAGAGCGUGCUUACUGAAAAGAGCCCACUGUAGCUGGGUGGGGAAAGGGAGGGCAAGAGGGAAGGCCAUGGCCAAGUGGUAUAAGAGGAGGCGAGGAGCUCCCAGGCCAGGGCUUCUCAGGCUGGAAUUCUGGGGCCCUGGAGAUACACAAAGACAUCUGAAGCCAUGCAAGAGCCCAGAGAAUCAUAAGGGAAUCUGAUAUGAAACAGACAGCAAGGACAAAUGUGGCAAAUUAAGAUGGAAAGAGUGGGCAGGGCUGGACCAGGCUUGUCCCAUUGGGCCACAUGGAAAACUUUGAACAUUAUCCCAAGUGAGAGGCUGUUGACGUGUUUUACACAAGGAAGUGGUGUGACCAUGUUGGUUUUUUGCCGCUGUCUCUGGCUGGGGAGGAAGGUAGACUGUAUGAGGCCUGGGGAUGCUGGGAGCAGGCAUGGGUGUAGAGUGGGAGGGGGAUUGCAAUAUUCCAAGUGAGAGUGGAGGAUCAAGGCAUGAAGCAAAUGAAAACCUGCUCUUCACAGCCAGCUGGCUCCUCUGCAGCCUUCAGUGACAGCAAAUGUCCUUAGACAGGUUAGUGAUUCUAUUAAAAUAGCCAAACC
rnacentral:lncRNA from 10 species